UACGAAGGGUGCAAGCGUUACUCGGAAUUACUGGGCGUAAAGCGUGCGUAGGUGGUUCGUUAAGUCUGAUGUGAAAGCCCUGGGCUCAACCUGGGAAUGGCAUUGGAAACUGGCGACCUAGAGUGCGGUAGAGGGUAGUGGAAUUCCCGGUGUAGCAGUGAAAUGCGUAGAGAUCGGGAGGAACAUCUGUGGCGAAGGCGACUGCCUGGACCAGCACUGAUACUGAGGCACGAAAGCGUGGGGAGCAAACAGG
rnacentral:rRNA from 1 species